UACGAAGGGGGCUAGCGUUGCUCGGAAUCACUGGGCGUAAAGCGCACGUAGGCGGAUCUUUAAGUCAGGGGUGAAAUCCCAAGGCUCAACCUUGGAACUGCCUUUGAUACUGGGGAUCUCGAGUCCGGAAGAGGUGAGUGGAACUGCGAGUGUAGAGGUGAAAUUCGUAGAUAUUCGCAAGAACACCAGUGGCGAAGGCGGCUCACUGGUCCGGUACUGACGCUGAGGUGCGAAAACGUGGGGAGCAAACAGG
rnacentral:rRNA from 1 species